rnacentral:rRNA from 1 species
AAACCAGCACCUCAAGUGGUCAGGAUGAUUAUUGGGCCUAAAGCAUCCGUAGCCUGCUCUGUAAGCUUUCGGUUAAAUCUGUACGCUCAACGUACAGGCUGCCGGGAAUACUGCAGAGCUCGGGAGUGGGAGAGGUAGACGGUACUCGGGAGGAAGUGGUAAAAUGCUUUGAUCUCUCGAUGACCACCUGUGGCGAAGGCGGUCUACCAGAACACGUCCGACGGUGAGGGAUGAAAGCUGGGGGAGCAAACCGGAUUAGAAACCCCAGUAGUCC